GCCCAGGAUGAGGGGUUCAGCCCUGCCAAUCACUGUUAAGCCCUCACUCGUGGUCACUGUGUGACUGCUGCCAGACUGUCCCUGUACAACGUGGGGCCUGGCUUCUUGGGACCAGGUCAGGCAGCUUCAGAGUCAUUUCUGCCCAACCAGGCAGUUUCCAUAGGGGUCAGAAACUGGCCAUUUGGGCUUGCUUCAAGUUUGAGGGACUCUGCUUUCUUAGUGCUCUUAGGAGCAGCACCUGCUCAGCUGGGUGGCUUUGAAUGAGUUUCCUUGUAGGCAGGUUGCCAGAUCCAGGUGGCCCAAUACUAAAAUCAAGCCAAGCACAAAUUUACCCUCGAGCCUAAUUAUUCUGCCUGGGUGGCCAAAGGCAAGAGGAGACUGGAAAAGAUUCCAGGUGGAUUUGAGAGCAAAGGCAGAAGAAUUAGGUGCAGAGCCAGGUCCCCAAAGUUGGAGGGUAACCUGUGUACAGUUUUCAAGGGUGGUUCUCAGUGGAACAGAGUUUGGUGAGAAGGAGGGGAGAAGACCUGGAAUAUUGUUCUGCAAGAUUUCUUUGGAAAUCUGAUGAAAGCUAUGGAUCCUCAGAAAGUGAGCCCGGUCAACCACAAAUCUGCGUUCUGUCUCUCUGGAUUUUCUGACUUUGGAUAUUUCAUCUAAAUGGAAUCAUCACUACAUUGUUUUGCAGCUGCCAGUGGGGUGUCUAUCUCCCAAUCUAGGUUUGCCUUUAUCA